CUGAGCUCCCUGCCCUCUUUCUCCGGGGACUGGAGGACUGGCGCCCUCCUCCGGGAGUCGGAAGAGGCGCUCCCUCCCCUCCUAGCGGGUGUAGGAGGGCCCAGGCCCAGAAGACUUGCAGCUCCCCAAUGUGCGCCUCGGAUCCCCAGCGGGCGCCGCGGUGUAGGAAGGGACGGAUGGAAACCGCCGCAGCCUUAAUUUGGCAUCUUGAAGUGAAAAGAAACGUGAUGGAAAUGAGUCAGUUGAUCACUGUGACGUACACACGAGUGGAAUCAGCGGCCUAAUGCUUUUGUUCUGUCGGGUGCCGCGUUACAUGUUUAUAUUUACCGUCCUAUGCUAGGCUGUAAGCUCCCUGACGGCACUAUUUCCUGUCCGCACUAUUUCCUGGCCGCAGGGCCCAGAAUGCAACAGGUCUUUCUGAGUUAUGUUGAGGAAGUUGCUGAACACAGAAGCUUCCUAAGUCAGUAUGAAUGUUUUAAGUUAUUACGUAGUAGCCAAUGGGCAGAAAUUUUUGAAUUUAAAAUCCUUAGCUUCAUCUACGUGGAAGCCAUUGUCUGCUCUAGUUUGGCCAUUUGAUCACCGAAACUGCCCCAGACUUUCAGCCUGUCUAGGCAGCUGGAACUUGUUCUGGAAAAGGAAAGAUGAAGAUAGUUCUGAUGUGCUAAGAAUCUUGGUGCCUAGAACUUGUUCUGGAAAAGGAAGGAUGAAGAUAGUUCUGAUGCACCAAGAAUCUUGGUGCCUAGCAUUUAUAUUUUUGGAAUUGAAUUUUGAAAUUAUUUUGGCAAGUGAAUUCAGCUUUUUUAAAAAAAAUUGUGGUAAAAUACAGCCUUUCUAAGAAAAGUCUACAGCAUUCUUUCUCUGCAAGUUCUCUUAACUACAGUGACUUCAACAGUUUUUUUAUACUUUGAGUCUAUACGGACAUUUGUACAUGAGAGUCCUGCCUUAAUUUUGCUGUUUGCCCUCGGAUCUCUGGGUUUGAUUUUUGCAUUGACUUUAAACAGACAUAAGUAUCCCCUUAACCUGUACCUACUUUUUGGAUUUACGCUGUUGGAAGCUCUGACUGUGGCAGUUGUUGUUACUUUCUAUGAUGUAUAUAUUAUUCUGCAAGCUUUCAUACUGACUACUACAGUAUUUUUUGGUUUGACUGUGUAUACUCUACAAUCUAAGAGGGAUUUCAGCAAAUUUGGCGCUGGGGUCUUUGCUCUUUUGUGGAUAUUGUGCCUGUCAGGAUUCUUGAAGUUAUUUUUUUAUAGUGAGACAAUGGAGUUGGUCUUAGCUGCUGCAGGAGCCCUUCUUUUCUGUGGAUUCAUCAUCUAUGACACACACUCACUGAUGCAUAAACUGUCACCUGAAGAGUACGUAUUAGCUGCCAUCAGCCUCUACUUGGAUAUCAUCAAUCUAUUCCUGCACCUGUUACGGUUUCUGGAAGCAGUUAAUAAAAAGUAAUUAAAAGUAUCUCAGCUCAACUGAAGAACAACAACAACAAAAAAAUUAAUGAGAAAAAAAGGAUUAAAAAAGUAAUUGGAAGCAGUAUAUAGAAACUGUUUCAUUAAGUAAUAAAGUUUGAAACAAUGUUUAAAUACUGUUACAAUCUUUAUUUGUAUCAUAUGUAAUUUUGAGAGUUUUAAAAUCUUACUGUUCUUUAUGAUACCUCAUUUCUAAAUCCUUGAUUUAGGAUCUCAGUUAAGAGCUAUCAAAAAUUCUAUUAAAAAUACUUUUCUGGGUGUGCACAGUGGCUCACGCCUUUAAUCCCACCACUUUGUGAGACGAAGGCAGGUGGAUCACGAGGUCAAGAGGUCGAGACCAUCCUGGCCAACAUGGUGAAACCCCAUCUCUACUAAAAAUACAAAAAUUAGCUGGGUGUGGUGGCACGUGCCUGUAGUCCCAGCUACUCAAGACGCUGAGGCCAGAGAAUCGCUUGAACCUCGGAGAUGGAGAUGGAGGUUGCACUGAGCCAAGAUCACGCCACUGCACUCCAGCCUGGCGACAAAGUGAGACUCAGUCUCCAAAAAAAAAAAAAAAAAAAGUUUUUCUUCCUAAAUUAGCCAUGCAUAGCUGUUUGUUUGCAAUUCAAAAGUAAUUUUAUGAGUAUAUAAUAGUAUCAGUUUACCUUUGUCUAGUGAUUUUAUCUCAAUUUUCCCUGAAUUAUUAAGUAAUAUUGAUUUGUCUUUGAUUCUAGAGUAGUAGAGUCUUUACCAUUAUAAACUGUAAAUCUCUCUUUGCUUGGCAAUUUUCAUCUAAUUUAAAAGGAAAAAAAUAUAAAAGAUAAAUUCCACAGAGAAUUAUUCAGUAUUAUAUUAAAAUUGUAUUAAAAUGUUAAUGACUUUUUAUUUUAAAUUGUACUAAAAUUAAAAGUCUGCCUGAAAGUCAGAUAUUAUGACAAAAUUUGACAUUAAUUGUUUUUUAAAGUAUAGAUUUCAUUUGAAAUUAUACAAUGCUAAUGUGGUUAGAGGACACCAAAGUUACUGGGUCAUCAGCCAUUAAGUAUAUCUAUUUCAAAAUAAAAAUACUUGGGAA